UUAACUGAAACCAAAUUAGAGGUAUAUUAUUGUUAAUAAUAAAAUUGAAUUAUCCAUAUUCCAGUUAAG
rnacentral:tRNA from 1 species